AACGAACGCUGGCGGCAUGCCUAACACAUGCAAGUCGAACGAGACCUUCGGGUCUAGUGGCGCACGGGUGCGUAACACGUGGGAAUCUGCCCUUUGCUUCGGAAUAACAGUUAGAAAUGACUGCUAAUACCGGAUGAUGUCGAAAGACCAAAGAUUUAUCGGCAAAGGAUGAGCCCGCGUAGGAUUAGGUAGUUGGUGGGGUAAAGGCCUACAAAGCCGACGAUCCUUAGCUGGUCUGAGAGGAUGAUCAGCCACACUGGGACUGAGACACGGCCCAGACUCCUCCGGAAGGAACAAUGGGGAAAAAUUGACCAUGGGCCGAAGCCCUAUCCCACAAAUGCGCCGUAAGUAAUAAAGCCUUUGGGUUUGUAAGCUCUUUUACCAGGGAUGAUAAUGACAGUACCUGGAGAAUAAGCUCCGGCUAACUCCGUG
rnacentral:rRNA from 1 species